rnacentral:rRNA from 1 species
CUUAGAGUUUGAUCCUAGCUCAGGAUGAACGCUGGCGACGUGGAUAAGGCAUGCAAGUCGAACGCCCACAUCACCCGCAGGGUGAUGCAGGAAAACACAAAACACAAAUGACACCGAACUUCAAAAAGAUGCAUACCGCAUUAUUUGGAGUUCUGUGCUUUGGGACUUUGUGCUUUCCCGCAUCGCGCUUCGCGUGAUGUGGGAGUGGCAGACGAGGUAGUAACACGUGAGUACGCACCCCAUAGUCAGGAAUAGCCUAUCGAAAGAUAGGGUAAUACUUGAUGGUCCCCGCCUUUGGCGGGGUAAAGAUUUAUCGCUAUGGGAGCGGCUUGCGGCAUAUCAGCUUGUUGGUGGGGUAACGGCCCACCAAGGCGAUGACGUGUAGGGGAGGUGAGAGCCUGACCCCCACCGAUAGCACUGAGACACGGGCUAUACACCUACGGGUGGCAGCAGCCGAGAAUAUUCCGCAAUGGACGAAAGUCUGACGGAGCGACGUCGCGUGGUGGAUGAAGUCCUUAGGGACGUAAACACCUUUUAUGAGGGAGAACGUGACAUUUAUGUCACACGAUAGUACCUCAUGAAUAAGGGGUUGCUAACUCUGUGCCAGCAGCAGCGGUAAUACAGAGACCCCAAGUGUUAUCCGGAAUCAUUGGGCGUAAAGGGUGUGUAGGUGGUGGUGUUAGUCUCCUGUUAAAACUCCCGGCCUAACCGGGAAUCUGCGGGAGAAACGGCACCGCUGGAGCGUGCGAGAGGUGUACGGAACUCAUGGUGUAGGGGUGAAAUCCGUUAAUAUCAUGGGGAACACCAAAGGCGAAGGCAGUACACUGGCGCACCGCUGACACUGAAACACGAAAGCGUGGGAAGUGAAGAGGAUUAGAUACCCUCGUAAUCCACGCCCUAAACGAUGAUAACUGGCUUUUCGGAGUAUCGACCCUCUGAGAGGCGAAGCUAACGCGUUAAGUUAUCCGCCUGGGAAGUACGGCCGCAAGGCUAAAACUCAAAGGAAUAGACGGGGACUCGCACAAGCGGUGGAUCAUGUGGUUUAAUUCGAUUUUAAACGAAGAACCUCACCAGGGCUAGACAUCCAGACGAAUCUUCUCCGAAAGGAGUUGAGUCUCACAAGGACGGCUGGACAGGUGUUGCAUGGCUGUCGUCAGUUCGUGGUUUGAAUUGUUCCCUUAAGUGGGGUAACGAACGCAACCCGUGUCGUGUGUUACAAGUGUNNNNNNNNNNNNNNNNNNNNNNNNNNAAGUAUGAAACAAUAUUAAAGCACCCAAUAAGAAAUCUAAAAAAGACUCCUUUUAGGAUUUCUCUUUUUGGGGCAUUAAAAUUUGUUUCGUGCUUAGAGAUUAAUACUUCAUGCUUCACUUUGCUCGCCUCAUGAGCAAAGUGCUGGGAGGAAGCGCGGAUGACGCCAAGUCAGCAUGACCCUCUGAUGCCCUGGGCUACACACAUGAUACAAUCGCCGGUACAACGGGAAGCAAUGCCGUAAGGCGGAGCCAAUCCUUAGAAAGCCGGCGCCAGUUCGGAUUGGGGUCUGCAACUCGACCCCAUGAAGCCGGAAUCGCUAGUAAUCGCAGGUCAGCUAUACUGCGGUGAAUACGUUCUCGAGUCUUGUACUCACUGCCCGUCAAACCAGGGAAGCCGGGAGCACCUCAAGAUCGAUGUAUGUCGGUCCAGGGUGAGCUUGGUAACAAGGGUUAAGUCGUAACAAGGCACGGCUAGCGGAAGCUG